rnacentral:lncRNA from 1 species
GAAAAACUGCGGAGUAACUUGACAACUUCGUUCGAGGUGUUCCCGAUCUCCAAAAAUCACGAAAUUAAAUCUGGAGUGUCCUUAUAUAUUGAAUUUUUGAUCUGGAAAUUUUGGGCACCAAAUUCAACCCUCUGAAUCUUUUUUUAAAUUUUUAUUGAAUUUCGUAUUUUUUGAUUUUUUUGACUUUUUUGACUAAUUUUUUUGUGGGAAUAAUUUUUUUAUAUUCAAUCACAGUGCCAAAAACAUGUAUGUAAAAUUUCAGAUCAAUCGGACAACGUUUACCCACUCAAAUGAUUUUUUUUGAACAAUUUUUCUGGGUAAAACUGCUGUUUAUGCUUUAAAAAAAUAGAGAUCAGUUUAGAAAUCAACCAAGAACACCCAAAACACCCAAAAUCUGAU